rnacentral:tRNA from 1 species
GCUGGUCUACGGAACCAGAGAUUCUGGGUUCGAUCCCCAGUGGAGUCG